rnacentral:rRNA from 1 species
UACGGAGGGGGCUAGCGUUGUCCGGAAUUAUUGGGCGUAAAGAGCUUGUAGGCGGUCUGUCGCGUCUGCUGUGAAAAUCCGGGGCUCAACCCCGGACUUGCAGUGGGUACGGGCAGACUAGAGUGUGGUAGGGGAGACUGGAAUUCCUGGUGUAGCGGUGAAAUGCGCAGAUAUCAGGAGGAACACCGAUGGCGAAGGCAGGUCUCUGGGCCACUACUGACGCUGAGAAGCGAAAGCAUGGGGAGCGAACAGG